GCUGGGAACGAGAAGCGCUGAUACAAAUCCUUGUUUUGUUAUCCAAUUUAUCUGAUGUUUAUCUACGUUUAUUUUGAAAUUCAAAUGAUUUCCUUAUGUUAUUUUAAAUGAUCGAACAAAGCACCGACGAUCAGCACAAUUCGAGCGCAAAUGCAAGAGCAGAAAUACCGCGUUUGCAGGGUAUGUGGAUGAGGCCGAGACGGGAGGCUAGCGUAGUUUGGGAAGCUAGUGCAGCCUGCCUGCCAGCUAGCCAGCGAAAUAGCUUCAUCGACGGGCUUAAACUGCUUUUGAUUAAUAUCAGGCAAAAUAACAGUGGAUAGUUAGCUAACGUUAGCUAUGUUAUCAAGACCAUGUGAACAUUUGGACUGAGAAUAACAGCUAAUGUCUGUUGACAUCUUCGUUUUGAGAAGCCAAAGCCAGCACGUUAGCUAACUGGUUGUAGCAACAAUAUCAUAUUGUGACCGACUACCAGAUAAUGUUUUAUUAUUGUGCAUUGGGUUACUUUAGUUACCGUAACUAGCUACUGUUGAAAUAGCUGACUAAACUCCACUCCGUGGCAGUUGAUCAGAAGCAUCCUUCACCGUGGAGUUUAGUCCGCUAAUUUAGCUGUAAUGUUAGACGUGAUUUGACCCAAGUCGGCCACAAUAGUAGUUUUGACCUAUGUGAUGCUAGACACAAUAAGGAUUAGUCACUGGAAUUUGUGGUUGCCUUCAAAAUACGUUCCCUCUAUUUGAAGGUGAUGCAAGUGGAUACAAAUAGUGGAUUCGUUACACAUUUGAUCUAGAUAAUGUUAAACAAGUUUGGAAUGUUGCCAUAUAAAUUGAACAAAAGAUAAUUACAUCAUUUGACUUAGAAAAACGAAUGUUGAAAUCACACUGGCUAUAUUAGACAUCAGAAUUCACUUACAAAAAAGAUUGCACUUAGAGUAUGAGUAUACUCCGAGUAUGUUGCAAAUACUGCAUCAUAAAUAUAAAAAUAAUAAUUCUGCAGUAAUUUUGAUGUGUAACUGCAGUUACAGUUCAGUAUAACUGCAAUUACUGCGUCCAAAAUACCACUGUGGACUGCUGUUACUGCACUUUUACUGCAGUUUCAAAACUGCCAUCUUUUUUGUAAGGGUUGAAUUGGGGGCAUACUUAUAUUUCACUGUACAGUACAUUUUAAUGACCAAAGACAUGACAUUUAUACCUUUUUAGAUUUUGUGGCAUAGAGAAAGUUGACAUAUCAGACAAGAGAGAUAGAUAAUGUUUUGGGAUUUUCACCCUCCAAACAUUUCCUAAAGAUCUUAGUGAUGAAAUGCCUAUGUAUGUUAUGUUGUAAAUGUGAACAUUAAUUAAUGCCCCCAUUUCUGAUUACUCUGAUGUGUUCCUUGAGAUGUCCUCAUUGUGGUUUUACAGACGUGUUUAAUACGUUUUAUGUACACACCUUUUAUUAGAAUAUUUAUGAAAUGCACAUUGUUAUAUUUGGUAGCACUUUUUUCCCCCUCGACUCGAACCUCAUUCGAUGCAUUGGAACAGAUGUGUGUGGAGCUAUGUCUACAUAAGGGUGCACAUUUUAAACUCAAAAGCUCUGAGGAAGGCCCUCGAGUCCGAUAGUAUCACUGCUCUUUAAUAAGCUUUACCUAUCGAGAGCGGUUCUUUUUUCUUAUGCGAUAUUGGUCAAAUACACUGAACAAAAAUCUAAAUGCAACAUGCAAGAAUUUAAAAGAUGUUACAGUUCAUAUAAGGAAAUCAGUCAAUUGAAAUAAAUUCAUUAGGCCCUGGGAAUACAGAUCUGUUGGUCACAAAUACCUUAAAAACAUUUUUUUAAAGGUAGGGGUGUGGAUACACUUUUAAAAAAAGUCAGUAUCUGGUGUGACCACUCCUCUUUAAUAGCAGCUCGAAGUUGCUGGAUAUUGGCGGGAACUGGAACACGCUGUUGCACACGUCAGUCCAGACCAUCCCAAACAUGCUCAAUGAGUUAUAUGUCUGCCCUUGAAGCGGUGGGUUUUGGGGGCACAGCAAGUGUGACUAUCCAUUUAAUUUUGUUCUGGGAUGACUUGGACAACUAGACAACCAGAGUGACAGUGACUGGAGAGGAAACAAACACCCUCUCAUAUCGAAAUCUUUCUUAUGCGUUGCUCCACACUAUAAACAAGACAAAACAGCAACAUUUAUAGUUUGGACAACUUUAUUUAUUGCCUAUACGGAGUAGUAUACUCUAGUGGUCCUCGGGAUGUCUAUCACCAACAUGCCUACGAGUAACGACGCUUGCCUGAGCAUUGUACACAGCUUGAUGUGUCAUAGGCAAGGGGCAGAGAGUGAGACCUUUGCCAAGCGAGCAAUAGAAAGUCUAGUGAAAAAGCUGAAGGAGAAGAAGGAUGAAUUGGACUCCCUUAUCACAGCCAUCACCACCAAUGGAGCUCACCCCAGCAAGUGUGUCACCAUCCAGCGUACUCUGGAUGGCCGCCUGCAGGUAGCAGGGCGUAAAGGGUUCCCCCACGUGAUCUACACUCGGUUGUGGAGAUGGCCCGAUCUGCAUAAAAAUGAACUGAAGCAUGUCAAAUACUGCCAGUUUGCGUUUGACCUGAAGUGUGACAACGUCUGCGUGAACCCCUACCACUAUGACCGGGUGGUGUCUCCGGGUAUUGACCUAUCAAGCUUGACUCUUACCAGCACAGCUACCAGCCUGGGACUGAUGGUUAAAGAUGAGUACGACUUUGACGGUCAGCCCCAGCUGCCCCCCAUGGACGGGGGUCACUCCCUCCAAACCAUCCAGCAUCCUCCCUCCAGCCGAGUUGUGCCCCCCUCGGAGCCCUUCAGCACCGCUGGCCUGCUGCCCCUCACUGAUGCCCGCACCACCUCCGCCUUCCCCAGCAUAUCUGUUGGAUCUGGAAAUGCCACCUCCACCUGGACGAGAAACAGCAGCUUCAUGCCCAACAUGCCUCAACAUCAGAAUGGGCACCUGCAACACCACCCACCCAUGCCUCAUCCAGGGCACUACUGGCCUGUGCACAACGAGCAUGGCUUCCAGCCCCCCAUAUCCAACCAUCCAGCGCCCGAUUACUGGUGCUCCACCGCUUACUUUGAGAUGGACGUGCAGGUGGGCGAGACCUUCAAGGUGCCCUCCACUUGCCCUGUCGUGACCGUGGACGGCUACGUGGACCCUUCGGGUGGAGACCGCUUCUGUCUGGGCCAGCUGAGCAACGUGCACCGGACAGAGGCCAUUGAAAGAGCCAGGCUCCACAUCGGGAAGGGGAUCCAGCUGGAGUGCAAAGGUGAAGGGGACGUGUGGGUUCGUUGCCAUAGCGACCACGCAGUGUUUGUGCAGAGCUACUACCUGGACAGGGAAGCCGGCCGUGCCCCCGGCGACGCCGUGCACAAGAUCUACCCCAGCGCCUACAUCAAGGGAGGUCCCAACUCCUCUGUUUGCUUAGCUUUACCAAUGUGUUCAUUGUGUUGUUAUCCACCCCCUGGUGUCCAAGCUGUGAAUUGCAUGUAGCUGGUAGUAAAUGUACACUACAUGACCAAAAGUAUGUGGACAUCUGCUCGAUUAUCUCAUUCCAAAAUCAUUGGUAUUAAUAUGGAGUUGGUCCCCCUUUGCUGCUAUAACAGCCUCCACUUUUCUGGGAAGGCUUUCCACUAAUGUUGGAACAUUGCUGCGCUUCCUUCAAUUCAGUCACAAGAGCAUUAGUGAGGUCAGGCACUGAUGUUGGGUGAUUAUGCCUGGCUUGCAGUCGGCGUUCCAAUUCAUCCCAAAGGUGUUAGAUGGGGUUGAGGUCAGGGCUCUGCAGGCCAGUCAAGUUCUUCUACACCGAUCUCAACAAACCAUUUCUGUAUGGACCUCGCUUUGUGCAAGGGGGCAUUGUCAUGCUGAAACAGGAAAGGCCUUCCCCAAACUGUUGCCACAAAGUUGAAGCACAGAAUAGUCUAGAAUGUUAUUGUAUGCUGUAGCGUUAAGAUUUCCCUUCACUGGACCUAAGGGGCCUAGGUCGAAUCAUGAAAACCAGCCCCAUACCAUUAUUCAUCCUCCACCAAACUUUAGAGUUGGCACUAUGCAUUGGGGCAGGUAGCGUUCUCCUGGCAUCCACCAAACCCAUAUUCAUCCGUCGGACUCCCAGAUGGUGAAGCAUAAUUCAUCACUCCAGAGAAAGCGUUUUCACUGCUUCUGGGUCCAAUGGCAGCGAGCUUUACACCACUGCAUUGCGCAUGGUGAUCCUAGGCUUGUGUGCGACUUCUCAGCCAUGGAAACCCAUUUCAUGAAGCUCCCGACUAACAGUUAUUGUGCUGAUAUUGCUUCCAGAGGCAGUUUGAAACUCGGGCCGUGAGUGUUGCAACCGAGGACAGACGAUUUUUACACGCUAUGCGCUUCAGCACUCAGCGGCCACAUUCAUUGAGCUUGUGUGGCCUACCACUUCUACGGCUGAGCGGUUGUCAUUCCGAGAUGUUUCCACUUCACAAUAACAGUACUCCCAGUUAAUGGGGCAGCUCUACCAUGGCAGAAAUUUGACGAACUGACUUGUUGGAAAGGUGGCAAUGUUUGUCUAUGGAGAUUGUAUGGCUGUGUUCUCGAUUUUAUAUACCUGUCAGCAACGGGUGUGGCUGAAGUAGUCUAAUUCACUAAUUUGAAGGGGUGUCCACAUACACUAUAUAUAUGUUGGUUUUUGUUUGUUCCCCUUCCCAGGUGUUUGACCUGCAUCAGUGCCACAGGCAAAUGCAGCAGCAGGCAGCGACGGCGCAGGCGGCAGCCGCAGCUCAGGCUGCCUCUAUUGCUGGGAACAUCUCUGGGCCGGGCUCCGUGGGAGGCAUCGCUCCCGCCAUCAGCCUUUCGGCAGCAGCCGGCAUCGGUGUGGACGACCUGAGGAGACUGUGCAUCCUGCGCAUGAGCUUUGUCAAGGGCUGGGGUCCCGAUUACCCCCGGACGAGUAUCAAGGAGACCCCCUGCUGGAUUGAGAUCCACCUACACCGCGCCCUCCAGCUACUGGACGAGGUGCUGCACACCAUGCCCAUCGCUGACCCCCAACCCUUGGACUGAACCACCAGACUGACCCCUCCCCUGUGACGCUUCAGUAUGAGAGAAUUUGGAAUAAGGCGGGGUAGGGGACAGGAGAGACGCCCUGUUUAGCUAUACAAGUAAACAAAGACUUGUUUCUCUCUAUAGGUCAUUCCUCUUCUUUUGCCUUCAUAUUGUCAAGUACGUCCAGGUCAGGACAGAGGCUCUGAUGAAGAAAGGGGGCUACUCUUCUCAAUCGCCCUGGUGCCCUUCACCAGUGAUCCCAUCUGGGUAACCUAUGCAGUGUUUUCCACAAGCACAUGGAGUAUUCAGCCAAAUAGAAAAAGUAGCCAGCCAGGCUCCCCUGGAUUUUUUUUUUGCAGAACAAGCUCUAUUUUGGUGGUCUCUGAUACAUUCUAAUGCCUUGAUUUCAUACAAAAUACACAGCAAAAUGAUUGCAUACUUUGAGGUUACCUCCCAGAUUGGAAAAGUGUUUAUAAUUUAAAUGACUGAAUUUAAGUAUUGUUAGUUGUUUAGGAUAUCGAUCAUAUGAUCAGGACUAUUUUCUAAGUAAGAACAUAAAACCUCUCAACAUUUAACCUGCCUUCUCUUGAGCUUAAAGUAUUUUACUGCAAGAUAUGAAUUGCCACAAUUGUUUGUUCUUCAGAUUAUAUUUUAUUAAAACUGAAAAAUGAAGUAAA